AGAUUGAACGCUGGCGGCAUGCCUUACACAUGCAAGUCGAACGGCAGCACGGGAGCAAUCCUGGUGGCGAGUGGCGAACGGGUGAGUAAUACAUCGGAACGUGCCCAAUCGUGGGGGAUAACGCAGCGAAAGCUGUGCUAAUACCGCAUAAGAUCUACGGAUGAAAGCAGGGGAUCGCAAGACCUUGCGCGAAUGGAGCGGCCGAUGGCAGAUUAGGUAGUUGGUGAGGUAAAGGCUCACCAAGCCUUCGAUCUGUAGCUGGUCUGAGAGGACGACCAGCCACACUGGGACUGAGACACGGCCCAGACUCCUACGGGAGGCAGCAGUGGGGAAUUUGGACAA
rnacentral:rRNA from 1 species